rnacentral:hammerhead_ribozyme from 1 species
AUCCAGCUGACGAGUCUCAAAUAAGACGAAAUGGGCUUUGUCCUGGAU